GACGAACGCUGGCGGCGUGCUUAACACAUGCAAGUCGAACGGCAAGGCCCUUCGGGGUACUCGAGUGGCGAACGGGUGAGAAACACGUGGGUGAUCUGCCCUGCACUUUGGGAUAAGCCUGGGAAACUGGGUCUAAUACCGAAUAGGACCACGCGCUUCAUGGUGUGUGGUGGAAAGCUUUUGCGGUGUGGGAUGGGCCCGCGGCCUAUCAGCUUGUUGGUGGGGUAAUGGCCUACCAAGGCGACGACGGGUAGCCGGCCUGAGAGGGUGACCGGCCACACUGGGACUGAGAUACGGCCCAGACUCCUACGGGAGGCAGCAGUGGGGAAUAUUGCACAAUGGGCGCAAGCCUGAUGCAGCGACGCCGCGUGAGGGAUGACGGCCUUCGGGUUGUAAACCUCUUUCAAUAGGGACGAAGCGCAAGUGACGGUACCUAUAGAAGAAGCACCGGCCAACUACGUG
rnacentral:rRNA from 1 species